rnacentral:sRNA from 1 species
AUUCCAACGAAGAACAUUUUUUCCCCUAUUUUUGGUAUUUUAAAUGAAUGGUAAUUAGAUUACCUCUAUUGAUGUUACAUAAACAAAAAGAAACUAGAUUUUAACCCGCGGUAUAUCGCGGGACGAUUUAUUUUUAAAAAUAAUAUAUAUUAAAACUUGCAAAUUUUAUUUUUAUAAAAUAUUUAUAUUUUACAGUUUAUAAUUGUUAUUAAGUAACGCUAUACCACGAAUUCAUGAGACAAUUGUUAAAAAAACUGAAGUUUUGACCCCUAUUAAAACAGCAUAUUAAUAAUAUUUUAAAAUUUUAUAAAUAUUGAUUCAAAUACAUCCACCAUAUAACCCAAUUCCAAAAUAAAACACGUUCUGUAAUUUCUUUAGGCGUCCCAUGAUUUUUUUUUAAAGUAGUAAUUUUUAAAAUUUAAGAAUUAUUUUUUAUAUAUAAAAGUUUUGCAAAUUGUAUCAUUCUCUAAUACAUUUAUAUUUUAUAGUUUAAUUUUAUAUAUAGUAACAUUAUACAUACCACAUAACAUUUUUGGUUUUAUAUAAUUUUUUCUAAAUUAGGAUGAUUUGAUAUGUUUAAUAUUAGUGGUCUUAAAAUUAAUGAUUUAACCCAUAUUGAAACGGUGGAUUAAUUAUAUUUUACUUUUUUAUUAAUGUUGAUUCAAAAACUCGUCCCUCCAUGUUGACUCUGAAUUAUAAUCUAAACAUUUUAGCUAAUAACAUAAGAGUGCACCAUAUUUAUUUAAUAGGGGAAUGUACCAUAUGACCUGAAUGCAUUUUUAUCCAAAUCCACCAAAACAUUCUUGCAAAAAUACUAUAGAGAUAAGAAACGAUAGUCGGUUUUGAUAGAUAUAAGAUUAGCAAAUAUAUUAGUUAGCUUAAAUUAGUUAAAGAAUACAAAUUAAAAAGGUAUAUUACACUUUAUUCAAAUAUAGUAUCAAAACUUAUAUAACACAGAGAUUUGAUAAUUUUUUAAUUGUUGAAUACUUUUUUUUUGUGCUAAUUUUUAUGUGAUUAAGAUUUAAUUGAUUUCAUAUAUAAAAUAUUAAAUUGACUUAUUUGUUUAUAAGUUGGUAACAUAUAGAUAUUUGAAUAUUCAGUAUAUUUUGCUUCAGUUUAAGAAAUCUUUGAUGACCCGUCUUUAGAUUCAAUAAGCCCUAUAAUCUAGAGAUUAAUCUGCAGUAUACCGCAGGUAGGCUUAUAUUUUAGUUAAAGUAAAAACUUUUAUUGUAAAGAUGAUUUAAAAAUAUAUGAUAUUAUUUUAUUUGAUUUUAAAUGUAUAGUAAACUGUGAGUUGUAUAUGUUUUGUUGAUAUUAUCUAUAUUGUUUAGUGUUUAAGAUUAUACACUUGUAGUUUGAUUGUUAAUUUAAGAGUUUCACAUGUAGUAUACCAUCUUAUAUUAAUAUCGAUCUAAACCCGUCAAUUUUAGGAUUUUCCAGCUUGUAUUAAAAAUUGAAUCACAUCUAAUAUGUUAUUAACUAUUGUAGUAUAUAAGAUUAUAAAUUUUCAAUAUAAUAUGUAUGAAAUUGAAUAUAAAUAUUUCAAAUUUAUGUUCCGUUACUCAGUAGAAAAUUUUCUUAAAUCUAUUUUUCACCCGUUAUAAUAUUAUUUCAUGUAUUGAACAGUUUAUAUUCGUUUUUAAAAAUUCAAAUUAUAGCAUCUGCAAAAAAACUCUAAUUAUGAUGAUAUUAUUUUUCCGUAAAAAUAGAAUCAUAUAAAGAUGAGAAGUGAACUAUAAUAAUUAAUAAAAAAUUAAUAUGAUAAUUUAGAUACCAAAUAUAAUUUGUUGAUUUUAAUUGGUUACUUUUUUGGAAAUUAAUAACGUAUUUUGUUUUUCUAAUUAAAUUAAAUU